CCCUUAGAUGUCCUGGGCCGCACGCGCGUUACACUGAUGCAUUCAACGAGCUUAUAACCUUGGCCGAGAGGCCUGGGCAAUCUUGUUAACGUGCAUCGUGAUAGGGAUGGAUUAUUGAAAUUAUUAAUCUUGAACGAGGAAUUCCUAGUAAACGCAGAUCAUCAAUCUGCAUUGAUUACGUCCCUGCCCUUUGUACACACCGCCCGUCGCACCUACCGAUUGGAUGGUCCGGUGAAGCCUCGGGAUUGUGGUUCUUGCCGCUUUAUUGUGGCGUGACCGCGAGAACUUGUCUAAACCUUAUCAUCUAGAGGAAGGUGAAGUCGUAACA
rnacentral:rRNA from 1 species